UAAAAUAAAGACUAUCAUGCUGAUCCACUUAGAGCCGUUCAACUAUAGGGAAAGCAGAUGUAUUUACUCCACCAAGCUUCUUAACAAGAACUGCCCAGAAUAUGGUUUCAGCUUCUGCUCUUAUUUCCGAAAAGCGUUACUGAUUCAUGUUCUUGCCCUUCAUGCUGAACUCUAUGAAAAUGAGAGGGGAGAAGACAGAUAGAGAGACUUGCAGACCUGCUUCACCACUCAUGAAGCUUCUCUCUUGCAUGUGAUGAGCAGGAGUUUGAACCUAUGACCUUGCACACAGUGGAUGCUACCAUGAUACCAAAUAGACUUCCCUGGGAAAAUGACUCCAUCAAUAUGUCCUGGAGCCCCGCUUCCCCAGAGCCCUGCCUCACUAUCCCCAGACAGGCUGGGAGUAUGGAUUGACCUGCCAAUACCCAUCUUCAGCAGGGAAGCAAUUACAGAAGCCCGAUCUUCCACCUUCUGCACCCCAUAAUGACCCUGGUUCCAUACUCCCAGAACGUUAAAGAAUAAGAAAUCUAUCAAGGGAGGGGGUGGGAUUCAGAGUUCUGGUGGUGGGAACUGUAUGGAGUUGUAUACUCUUAUCCUAUGGU